UACGUAGGGUGCGAGCGUUAAUCGGAAUUACUGGGCGUAAAGCGUGCGCAGGCGGUUAUUUAAGUCAGGUGUGAAAGCCCUGGGCUUAACCUAGGAAUUGCGCUUGAGACUGGAUAGCUUGGAGUGCGGCAGAGGGAGGUGGAAUUCCACGUGUAGCAGUGAAAUGCGUAGAGAUGUGGAGGAACACCGAUGGCGAAGGCAGCCUCCUGGGCAAGCGCUGACGCUGAGGUGCGAGAGCGUGGGGAGCGAACCGG
rnacentral:rRNA from 1 species